AGAUAACAUUGCAGCGAUCGCAAGAGGGAACCAUCACAAGGAAGAUACAUUUGCCAAGGAGUUUGGAAUAAAUGUUUCAGACAUGAUGGCAUCAAUCCACGGUGCUCGAGUUUUGCCACCCCCUGUGCUGAAGUACCAUGAAGAAGGUCGGGAAGCAAGAAUUCAACCUCGCGUUGGGCAGUGGAAUAUGAUAAAUGCGGUAAGCUUAACCCUAACGUUAAAUCUAUUAAUUAUAAUUGUUCGGUUGUAUAUCUCGACUUGCUAGUUUCUUUGAUGCAUUUAUGAGAGUCUG